rnacentral:tRNA from 1 species
GCGGGCGUAGCCAAGUGGUUAAGGCACCGGAUUGUGGUUCCGGCACUCGCGAGUUCAAACCUCGUCGUCCGCC